rnacentral:rRNA from 1 species
AGAGUUUGAUCCUGGCUCAGAUUGAACGCUGGCGGCAGGCCUAACACAUGCAAGUCGAGCGGAUGAAGGGAGCUUGCUCCUGGAUUCAGCGGCGGACGGGUGAGUAAUGCCUAGGAAUCUGCCUGGUAGUGGGGGAUAACGUCCGGAAACGGGCGCUAAUACCGCAUACGUCCUGAGGGAGAAAGUGGGGGAUCUUCGGACCUCGCGCUAUCAGAUGAGCCUAGGUCGGAUUAGCUAGUUGGUGGGGUAAAGGCCUACCAAGGCGACGAUCCGGAGCUGGUCUGAGAGGAUGAUCAGUCACACUGGAACUGAGACACGGUCCAGACUCCUACGGGAGGCAGCAGUGGGGAAUAUUGGACAAUGGGCGAAAGCCUGAUCCAGCCAUGCCGCGUGUGUGAAGAAGGUCUUCGGAUUGUAAAGCACUUUAAGUUGGGAGGAAGGGCAGUAAGUUAAUACCUUGCUGUUUUGACGUUACCAACAGAAUAAGCACCGGCUAACUUCGUGCCAGCAGCCGCGGUAAUACGAAGGGUGCAAGCGUUAAUCGGAAUUACUGGGCGUAAAGCGCGCGUAGGUGGUUCAGCAAGUUGGAUGUGAAAUCCCCGGGCUCAACCUGGGAACUGCAUCCAAAACUACUGAGCUAGAGUACGGUAGAGGGUGGUGGAAUUUCCUGUGUAGCGGUGAAAUGCGUAGAUAUAGGAAGGAACACCAGUGGCGAAGGCGACCACCUGGACUGAUACUGACACUGAGGUGCGAAAGCGUGGGGAGCAAACAGGAUUAGAUACCCUGGUAGUCCACGCCGUAAA